UUGGAUACAUUGAGGUGAUGCCCAGGGAUGUAAAUAGCAGUCCGAUACUGCGGCCACUAUAUAGUAGUAGCAGCGCCGUCUGAAACCGUUACUGCUAAAAAUAGUUGUGUGAAGCAGAGUCACACCAAUAGCGGUGGAUUGUGGCCGCAAUUUAACGGGUAAAGGCCAAUUGCGGCAAUAACGGGCCGCUAUUCCUGUUAUUUUCAGUUAUAGUAAAAUUAAAAAAAAAUCCAACUUCUCUAAAAAAAAAUCGAUAGAGACAAAAGGGAAUAUAUUCCUUACCUGCAAAAUCAGAUAGUUUUCAAUCAAAAAAAGUAAAAGAAAUCCAAAUACAACAGAAAAAAGCAAUCAAAAGCAAUAGAAAAAUAGGAAAUUCACAUAUUUCAGUUUAGACUUUAGACUCUAAACUCCAAACGAAACAAAAUCACAACACAGCAGAGCUAGCAUUGAACUCGAGAAGCAAAGCCUGAUCACUUGCACAUUCAGAGAUUCAUAAUUUUCAACAUGCCACCACGUGAAAGUUCCCGACUAAAGGAUUGGAGGGUGCACCAAGUAAUGAUAUAGGUUGGCACUUUGGAACUCUAGUGCCAAAUAUGAAAGGAAAUGUCGUAUGUAAACUUUGUGGUAAAGUUGUGAAAGGAGGAAUAACACGAUUUAAAUAGCACAUUGCUCAUAAAACCAACAAUGUUGCACCAUGCCCUAAUGUUAUUGGUAUGUGAUACUUUAUUAUUAUUUUUAAAUGUUAUUGUAAAUUUAUCAAUAAAGAUUAUAUAUAAUUGAUAAUAAUAUAAA